rnacentral:misc_RNA from 1 species
GAUGAAAACGCAGCGAAAUGCGAUACGUAAUGUGAAUUGCAAAUUCAGUGAAUCAUCGAGUCUUUGAACGCACAUUGCGCCCCCUGGUAUUCCGGGGGGCAUGCCUGUCCGAGCGUCAUUGCUGCCCUCAAGCACGGCUUGUGUGUUGGGCCCCGUCCUCCGAUCCCGGGGGACGGGCCCGAAAGGCAGCGGCGGCACCGCGUCCGGUCCUCGAGCGUAUGGGGCUUUGUCACCCGCUCUGUAGGCCCGGCCGGCGCUUGCCGAUCAACCCAAAUUUUUAUCCAGGUUGACCUCGGAUCAGGUAGGGAUACCCGCUGAACUUAAGCAUAUCAAUAAGCGGAGGA